UCACAGUCUAAGGACCCACAAAACAUAGCUAUAAAAAAACAUUAUCCCACAGCCUAUGCCACCCAGCACUUCUCAAAGUGACAGAAACCAGCCCUCCUCUUAAAAUAACCUGUGGUUGGUCCAUACCGUGGAGGUAGGAAGAACUGGACUGGCUUUUCCCCGGACCCUGCUGCUGCUGUCCUGCUCACAACCUGUCUAAUACUUUGGGUUCAGCAGAAAGGAAAACAUGAAGAAAAUGGACAAUGACAGAGCCGUCAUCUGUAAAAACUGGUACUUGCUUAGAAGUCAAGAGAAUGAUUCGUCUAAAACAAAGGCCGUUCCCCUCACUCCUGUGAGCCCUACCUUUAACCACUAAAGACACACCCUGACAAUGCUUUCUUCCUCACCUAAGAUGCAAUUAUGGACCAAACAUUCAAAGGGUUUCCAGAAGGACUGCCACAGGCUUCAAGCAUACUCUGUGUCUUAAGUUCAUCUCUGAGCAAGCAAAACAAUUAAAUGCCAGAGACCGUGGCCAACAGCAUCUUAUUUUGAGGAUGAGUUAUCAGAAAAACAUUGUGCUGGCUGUUGGCUUAAACAGAAUAGGUUGGAACAAAAAGACUUAGCAAAUUCCUUUGAGGCCAGAACGUAUAUUUCUUAAUUUAAAGAGCUGUCAUGAUUUGUUUCCACUACUUGCACGGUAUCUAAUGCCCCGGGACCACUAUCUCGUCCUCUGUGUCACAAACCAAUAAUAAAGCACAGAGAAUAAGGAGACCCAAGAGAUGGAAUGCUGGAAUGCCUGCUGACCUCAUAAACAAAACCCCAGCCACCUCCGUUGUAUCAUAACACAAUGACAUAGUUCUCUGGAUUAGGAUACAGGGAAGGAAGCAUCUAUUACAGACUUGGUUUAAAAAAGUCAGAAAAGGUAUCUGUGAAACUGUUUGGUUUCCAACAUAUGCUGCUAAGCCUGGCCGACUGACCCUUACUCAACCUCAGCGAGACUAUAAAGUUUGAGACACAGUAAUUCAUCUUGUGUUCAACACAAGGUUUACCUAGAAAAAUUAAGUUCACUCGCUAAAAAGUUAUAAAGUAACUGAAUGUGAGCAAUUUUGGAUUAACAUGAAACAAUGCUUUUCUUUCAGAACCACUUGCGGAGACAAAACUAAGUCACAGUGGAAGACAAAAGCCGGGGCAACAGGAUGAAUGCAGCAGAAAGAGGAGCUGACCAGAGAGGAGCCUGCCACUAAAUCACACAGUCAGUACCUCCUGCUUGACUCCACCGCUCGUCUUUUGUCUGCAACUUAUUUACCUGUGGCCUGACCUCCCGCUGGACCCUUCCUUACACCUCCAUCCCUGGUAUUGACUUCUUGGCCUCUUCAUCUCUGAUUAAACUCCCCUCUCCCAAGUGGCUAUGCACACAGUCUCUUUCUCCUUCACCCCGACCCCCCCACCUCUACUUCAACUGCAGAUUACACAACUAUGGAAUCCAUUCCUCUCAAGAUCAAGAGGACCAGCAGUCAGUCAACUCCCUGCUUCCUUAACAGGCUUUGACCAUGACCACAGUAAGAAAUACGUUUAUAUCACAACCCAAUACAUAUACACAUACUACAUUGGGCUGCCUGGGUGGCUCAACUGGUAGAGCAUGAGACUCAGGGGAGUGAGUUCGAGCCACAUGUUGGACACAGAGAUUACUUGAUAAAAAAGUUUUUAAAUAAUAUCUGUCAUUAUUAAGGGUAAUGUAUUUAAUAUUCUCUAUUCAGUUCUAUUCCAUUUAUAUUUUUAAAAUGUCUGGGUCAUAUAAUGUUAAGUUAAAGAAGCCUCACGUAAAAAGCGCAUACUGUAUGAUUCCACUGAUAACAAGGUCUGGAACAGUCGCAACUAAUCUACGGUGACAGACAUAAAAACAGCAGGCAUAUCAGCUGGGAGGGGAGGACAGGAUAGUCUGCUGGAGUGCUAGAAGCGUUCUAUGCAUUGAUCUGCGUGGUGGUUAUACAGGUGCCCAAAUGUGAAAUCCACUGAGCUAUCCAAUUAGUGUUCCAUGUAAGUUCUACUUCAAUUAAAUAAAUAAAUAAAUAAAUAAAUAAAUAAAGCAAAGCAAAGCAAAAUAAAAAGAAAUGGGGGGUUUAAACUAAUUAAUCUGAUUUAACCAACCAAAACUGCUUCAACUAACCUGUUACACACAGUUUGAAAAGAGCUCUAAAUAUCUUUGUGUGUGUGUGCGUUAACUCUCUUAUAUAUGUUAUCUCAUACAACUAAACUAAGGAAAGUUUAAAAACUUUCCUAGGGAGCGUCUGGGUAGCUCAGUCAGUUGGGAAUCCAGCUCCUGACUUCGGCUCAGGUCAUGAUCUCAUGGUUCAUGAGUUCGAGACCCGUGCUGGGC